UCCGCCUGGGUACUACGAGCACAGCUUAAAACCCAAAGGACUUGGCGGUGUCUCAGACCCACCUAGAGGAGCCUGUUCUAGAACCGAUAACCCCCGUUAAACCUCACCACUUCUUGUUUUCCCCGCCUAUAUACCGCCGUCGUCAGCUUACCCUGUGAAGGCCUAGCAGUAAGCAAAGUGGGCUCGCCCCAAAACGUCAGGUCGAGGUGUAGCGCACGAAGUGGGAAGAAAUGGGCUACAUUUUCUACAAUAGAAUAUUACGAAUGGCACCCUGAAACAAAUGCCUGAAGGUGGAUUUAGUAGUAAAAAGCAAA
rnacentral:rRNA from 1 species